ACGGAGUGCUUAAUCCAACUUACCAAGCUGGGUUACGACGCGACGCCGUUCAACCAGAUAUUGAAGCAGAACGCAAAAAGAGAGAUGAGAUUGAGGCUGGGAAAAGUUACUGUAGCCGACGUUUUGGCGGCGCAACCUGUGACGACAAAUCUGCUCAAAUUUAUGCGCGCUUCGAUAAAAAUGAUUGGCGUAUCCAACCUGCAGAGUUUUAUCGCUUCCAUGACGCAGAAGUUAACACUUUCGGAUAUUUCUGAUGAGUCGAAAAAUUAUCUUGAUAAAGCAGGAAUUACUACUGCUUGUUUACGAAUUAAAUCGAAGUGGACUGCUGGCGGAAAAUGAGAAAAUUCGACCUAUCCUUGCGCAGCUCGAGAAGCUCUUACUUUGCGACCUUUCGCCAUCAACUAACGAUUCUGUC
rnacentral:rRNA from 1 species